AUUGAACGCUGUCGGCAGGCCUAACACAUGCAAGUCGAACGAGUGGCGGACGGUUGAGUAAUGUCUGGGAAACUGCCUGAUGGAGGGGUAUAACUACUGGAAACGGUAGCUAAUACCGCAUACCAUCGGAUGUGCCCAGAUGGGAUUAUCUAGUAGGUGGGGUAACGGCUCACCUAGGCGACGAUCCCUAACUGGUCUGAGAGGAUGACCAGCCACACUGGAACUGAGACACGGUCCAGACGCCUACGGGAGGCAGCAGUGGGGAAUAUUGCACAAUGGGCGCAAGCCUGAUGCAGCCAUGCCGCGUGUGUGAAGAAGGCCUUCGGGUUGUAAAGCACUUUCAGCGGGGAGGCGUUACCCGCAGAAGAAGCACCGGCUAACUCCGUGCCAGCAGCCGCGGUAAUUC
rnacentral:rRNA from 1 species